rnacentral:lncRNA from 1 species
AAUUUUACACCGUCUUCAAUUUGUUGUAUUGAUUUUUUUUUUUUUUUAAAUUCUUUUCCUUGGCAGGACAUGUGAAUAAAUCUACCUAGAGAGAAAACUGAACGUGUAGACUUCUGUAACAGCUGCCAAAGCUGGUUUUCCUGAGAAAAAGAGACAAAGACAGGCCUUGAGAGCAAUGAGUCAUGCUACUACUUUCUCCUCAAGUACAGUCAAUGUUCUGGGAUAAGGCAUUGGCCGGUAAGUAGCUGAUGAUGGUCUGUUUAACCCUUUCAGUUGUAC